rnacentral:lncRNA from 1 species
GGCCUAGUGGGCAAAGAACCAACCUCUCGAGUAUGAGGGCGCGGGUUCGAAUCCAGGUCAGGCAAGUACCAAUGCAACUUUUCUAAGUUUGUAUGUACUUUCUAAGUAUAUCUUAGACACCAAUGGCUGAUAAAAAGGUGAAGGAAAACAUCUUGAGGAAACCUGGACUAUAAAGUCUGAAAUCACCAACCCGCAUUGAGCAAGCGUGGUGAUUAAUGCUCAAUCCUUCUCCGUGUGAGAGGAGGCCUGUGCCCAGCAGUGGGACGAUAAAAA